UAGACCUGCAAUUUGUGAAAAAUGCAAUAUCUGAGAGUGCAAUAAACUGAGGUAUGUCUGUACUCUUUCCAGAGUUCUCUGUGCUUGAUCCUUUGAUCUGGGCAGCUGGAUGGGGCUCUCUGAGCACCAGAGCUGGUCACAGGAGCUGCCUAUCUUGGAGGCUGGGUGAUAGGACUCCCUGGUUCCCCUGGACAGCUGCUGCCUGGAAGGAGAACCAUCCCAAUGGGAGGAUGGAAUCCCAGCAGACACCUUUCAUUCUUUCCUGGAGACACCCCCAGCAAGUGAGAAGAUGACGUUAUUAUUUCUUAAUAUAUGGAUUUUUUUUCUAAUUACAAAGAAACCACACAAAUGACCCGUAGAAAACUUGGAAAACAGGAACACACAAAGAUGGCUGUAAAAAGCCCCCAUAAUCCAAGUUAACCGCGGUUAACAUAUUGGUGUAUUUCCUUCUAUCCUUUUUUUCUUUAAGUAGUAGCCCAAGGCCAUGUGAACGAUCUGGGCUUAAGAUCUAUCUUUUGACUUUAAUUAUGUGUAGUUGGACUCUCUAAGAC
rnacentral:lncRNA from 12 species